GACGAACGCUGGCGGCGUGCUUAACACAUGCAAGUCGAACGGAAAGGCCCUGCUUGCAGGGUACUCGAGUGGCGAACGGGUGAGUAACACGUGGGUGAUCUGCCCUGCACUUCGGGAUAAGCCUGGGAAACUGGGUCUAAUACCGGAUAGGAGCCAUUUUUAGUGUGAUGGUUGGAAAGUUUUUUCGGUGUAGGAUGAGCUCGCGGCCUAUCAGCUUGUUGGUGGGGUAAUGGCCUACCAAGGCGGCGACGGGUAGCCGGCCUGAGAGGGUGGACGGCCACAUUGGGACUGAGAUACGGCCCAGACUCCUACGGGAGGCUGCAGUGGGGAAUAUUGCACAAUGGGCGCAAGCCUGAUGCAGCGACGCCGCGUGGGGGAUGACGGCCUUCGGGUUGUAAACUCCUUUCGCUAGGGACGAAGCUUUUUGUGACGGUACCUAGAUAAGAAGCACCGGCUAACUACGUG
rnacentral:rRNA from 1 species